rnacentral:rRNA from 1 species
UGAUAAUCAUAGGGCCGAUUGAUUUUAGCGGCCGCGAUUCGACCUUGCUCAGUAACACGUGGUUAAUCUGCCCUAAGGUGGAGGAUACUCCCGGGAAACUGGGGCUAAUACUCCAUAGGUGACACGAACUGGAAUGUUGUGUCUCCGAAAGAUCCGUCGCCUUAGGAUGAGACUGCGUCCGAUUAGGUAGUUGGUGGGGUAACGGCCCACCAAGCCAGUCAUCGGUACGGGUUGUGGGAGCAAGAUCCCGGAGAUGGAUUCUGAGACAUGAAUCCAGGCCCUACGGGGCGCAGCAGGCGCGCAAACUUUACAAUGCGAGCAAUCGUGAUAAGGAAACCCUGAGUGCCUGUUGAUGCAGGCUGUUCAUCUGUUUAAAUUGCAGGUGAAGAAAGGGCAGGGCAAGACCGGUGCCAGCCGCCGCGGUAAUACCGGCUGCUCGAGUGAUGGCCACUAUUACUGGGUUUAAAGCGUCCGUAGCUUGAUUGUUAGGUCUCUUGGGAAAUCUUCUAGCUUAACUAGAAGGCGUCUAAGAGAUACCGGCAAUCUUGGAACUGGGAGAGGUAAACCGUACUUCAGGGGUAGGAGUGAAAUCUUGUAAUCCUUGAGGGACGACCUAUGGCGAAGGCAGUUUACCAGAACAGCUUCGACAGUGAGGGACGAAAGCUGGGGGAGCAAACGGGAUUAGAUACCCCGGUAGUCCCAGCCGUAAACAAUGUACGUUAGAUGUAUCGGCAACCACGCGUUACUGAUGCGUCGCAGAGAAAUCGUGAAACGUACCACCUGGGAAGUAUGGUCGCAAGGCUGAAACUUAAAGGAAUUGGCGGGGGAGCACCACAACAGGUGGAGCCUGCGGUUUAAUUGGAUUCAACGCCGGACAUCUCACCGGGUAAGACAGCUGAAUGAUUGUCAAUCUGAAGGUUUUACAUGACUAGCUGAGAGGAGGUGCAUGGCCGUCGUCAGUUCGUACUGUGAAGCAUCCUGUUAAGUCAGGCAACGAGCGAGACCCACGCCAACAAUUGCCAGCAGCAUCUCCGGAUG